CAAACCUGAGGUUAUCCUUGUGUUAUCCUCACUCUAUCAAUGAAGGGACAGAAGAUCACCGACUCCUGAGAGCUCCCCGUUACCAAUACCGUCUGCACUGACUAGUGAAGAGAUUUUCAGCUUCAAGCAGCCACAAAGCCUCCCAAGCUGGAUUCAGGAAUUGAGAGAAUGAUUGGUUUGUACAAAUGAAAGAAGCAGGAUGAACCUCGGGUUUCACCCGAGUUGAGUCUGCUCUCAGAACAGGGAUGCCCACUGCCCUGUCCAGUACCAAAUGCUUCUGAGUGAAAGAAAGGAGCCUCUUCUCUGCCAGUGGAGGGAAGUUCUGGGCUGUCCCUCUGGCGCUGUGGCCUCUCGAUCCCCAGCCAGACACUGCUGCAGGAGAAUGGAAACAGGAAGAAGAAAGGCAACUCAGCUGAAGAAAAGAAACAAGGAAGAGGCACAGGAGCUGGGAGAGGGUCCUGGUCCCGGGGAACUUUCGUGGGCUUCAUAAGCCUCGGUUUCUUCAUCUGCGACUACAAGGCAACAUUCUCUUGCAAAUCUUCACCAGGAGGAGAUGAG
rnacentral:lncRNA from 1 species